rnacentral:rRNA from 1 species
AUUGAACGCUGGCGGCAGGCCUAACACAUGCAAGUCGAGCGGAUGAAGGGAGCUUGCUCCUGGAUUCAGCGGCGGACGGGUGAGUAAUGCCUAGGAAUCUGCCUGGCAGUGGGGGAUAACGUCCGUAAACGGGCGCUAAUACCGCAUACGUCCUGAGGGAGAAAGUGGGGGAUCUUCGGACCUCACGCUAUCAGAUGAGCCUAGGUCGGAUUAGCUAGUUGGUGGGGUAAAGGCCUACCAAGGCGACGAUCCGUAACUGGUCUGAGAGGAUGAUCAGUCACACUGGAACUGAGACACGGUCCGGACUCCUACGGGAGGCAGCAGUGUGGAAUAUUGGACAAUGGGCGAAAGCCUGGUCCAGCCCUGCCGCGUGUGUGAAGAAAGUCUUCGGAUUGUAAAGCACUUUAAGUUGUGAGGAAGGGCAGUAAGUUAAUACCUUGCUGUUUUGACGUUACCAACAGAAUAAGCACCGGCUAACUUCGUG